rfam:TPA: Bos taurus chromosome 16, whole genome shotgun sequence.
UGACCCUGAAACCCAGAGCAGGUGAGGCCUGUCUGACUGUUUCUGGGCGACCCAAUCUUGGUUUCCAUGGUUG